rnacentral:rRNA from 1 species
UACAGAGGUCCCAAGCGUUGUUCGGAUUCAUUGGGCGUAAAGGGUGCGUAGGUGGCGCCGUAAGUCGGGUGUGAAAUCUCGGAGCUUAACUCCGAAACUGCAUUCGAUACUGCGGUGCUUGAGGACUGGAGAGGAGACUGGAAUUCAUGGUGUAGCGGUGAAAUGCGUAGAGAUCAUGAGGAAGACCGAUGGCGAAGGCAGGUCUCUGGACAGUUCCUGACGCUGAGGCACGAAAGCGAGGGGAGCAAACGGG